GCGAUCGUAGCUCAGCAGGAUAGAGCAUCGGCCUUCUAAGCCGAGUGUCCGGGGUUCGAAUCCCUGCGGUCGCGCCA
rnacentral:tRNA from 1 species